rnacentral:rRNA from 1 species
AACGAACGCUGGCGGCGUGGAUAAGACAUGCAAGUCGAACGGGAUUUUCCGUUGUAGCAAUACGAUGGAAAAUUUAGUGGCGAACGGGUGCUUAACACGUGGGCAACCUGCCAGGAAGUGGGGGAUAGCUCGCCGAAAGGCGAAUUAAUACCGCAUGUGAUUAGAGAGGACAUCCUUUCGAAAUUAAAGUCGGGGCAACCUGACGCUUCUUGUGGGGCCCGCGGCCUAUCAGCUAGUUGGUGAGGUAACGGCUCACCAAGGCUUUGACGGGUAGCUGGUCUGAGAGGACGACCAGCCACACUGGGACUAAGACACGGCCCAGACACCUACGGGUGGCAGCAGUCGAGAAUUUUUGACAAUGGGGGAAACCCUGAUCGAGCGACGCCGCGUGGAGGAUGAAGGUCUUCGGAUUGUAAACUCCUGUCAUUGGGGAACAAGGUGCAUACGUUAACUGCGUGUGUAUUGAUAGUACCCGAAGAGGAAGAGACGGCUAACUCUGUGACAGCCGCCGCAGUAACAC